rnacentral:rRNA from 1 species
GACGAACGCUGGCGGCGUGCUUAACACAUGCCAGUCGAACGGAAAGGCCCUGCUUUUGUGGGGUGCUCGAGUGGCGAACGGGUGCGUAACACGUGAGUAACCUGCCCUUGACUUUGGGAUAACUUCAGGAAACUGGGGCUAAUACCGUAUAGGAGCUCCUGCUGCAUGGUGGGGGGUGGAAAGUUUCGGCGGUUGGGGAUGGACUCGCGGCUUAUCAGCUUGUUGGUUGGGUAGUGGCUUACCAAGGCUUUGACGGGUAGCCGGCCUGAGAGGGUGACCGGCGACAAUGGGACUGAGAGACGGAGCAGAGUCCUACGGGAGGCAGCAGUGGGGAAUAUUGCACAGUGGGAGGAAGCCUGAUGAAGCAACGCCGCGGGCGGGAUGACGGCCUUCGGGUUGUAAAACGCUUUCGCCUGUGACGAAGCGUGAGUGACGGUAAUGGGUAAAGAAGCACCGGCUAACUACGUG